rnacentral:lncRNA from 1 species
AAUGAAGCACCCACAAUCAUGCUCGUGGUUCCACCACUGCUGGUGCGCUCCAUUUGCUCUGGAGUUGCUUAUUUGGUCAGUAUGAUUAGUACCUGUAUUGAUUAGUAUGAUGAGGCCCUGUCCCGGCCUUAAUGAUAUUAUGUACUCUUAGAGGCUUGUAGACAAAUGUUAUAUAUACAGAUACUUGUAUGGUCUUGUCAGCCUAUGUUUGAGUAUAUAAUGAUCAUGUCGGCCUUAUAAACUCGUAUGUCAUAUGUAUAAGUUUGUAUUACAUGUUAGGUCGUCCUAUGUCAAGUGUUCCCUCAUGUUUCAUUCUAGUUAUCUCACAACAGCCUUUCCAUUUCAUUUACCUAUGGUAGUAUGAUAUGAAAGAUACGUUACGUUGGUACUCAGUUGAGCAAAGUACCGGGUACCGUCACGGCUCAUCAAUUUGGGUCGUGACAUUUAUAUAAACUUAUAACCGUACCGAAUAAUAGAGUAGGUUUUUAAUUUUAUAAAAAUAAAUCGAAAAAAUAUCGAACCUUAUCGAAUAAAUUUAUAUAUGAAAAAUAUAUUUUAUAUACUAAGUUUAAAACUAAUAAAGCAUUAAGUUUUUUUUCUUGGGUUUGAGGAUUAUAAAAUGGCUACAAGUAAUCAAAUAAUUAAUAUCCAACGUCCCACAUCCAUAGCUAUUCUACUACUCAUAUCGAAACUAAAUUAGUUUCAGCAUCUUGAGUAACAAGCCACUAGGUAUUCCACCAAUCUUCAGUAGCAAGCCACAAGGUAUAGGAUAUCUUUCCUCUCGUAUAAUUUAGAUUUCUCUUAUUGGAUACUAAUCUUCUAAUAAGCUCUAUUCUUGAGUCCCAACUUGAUUAGUAUCUUUCCACUCGUAUGAUUUAUAUUUCUCUUGUCUUUGUUUAAUUUAUUUGACACUACCAUAGAAUAUUGGGAAGAAUCUCUAUUUUGGACAUCUUUCAUGUCGCUUUGAUCAUAGCUUCUAAAAUAGUAAAAAUGUCAAUAGAGUUUUGCCAAAUUCCUAUGCAAGUAUGCAUUUGCCGUAUUCUAAGUUCGACUAGUGAUUCUUGCAUAACAUUUAAAAAAAACAAAAAAUUAACCGAACCAUACCGAUAUCGAAAACAAUAGAGAUUAUUAAGACGUUUCCGAAAAGUCUAAUCUCGGUUAUGCAAAAUGGAAUAACUAAAAUGUUACACCCCAUGUUUUCGUACGUAAAAGUACGUCGUAAGUCAACUGGUAUAAGCUCGGAAAUGAGAUCAUCUUUGAAAGUAUAUAAAGUAAGUCAAUCAUGUUAACUUGUAGGUGACAAAUAUUUAAGAUCAUGAACAACAAGUACCAAGAGGGUUGGAAGGUUUAGAAGCUAAACGAAUCGAAAAAAAUAAAUUUCGUCGAAAGUAGACAAGUUGGAAAUAUUAUAACUCGUACUUUUGGGGUGAUACUAGGGUGAUUAACAUGAUAAAGAAGGUGACUUUAUGAGGUAUUUUGUCAUAUGAUAGUCGAGUGUUAAGUUUUGAAGUCAAGUGAGUUGUGGAGCAAAAAUCGACGAAAUUCGUCAUUAGUUAUGUUCAUAAAUUGUAUUAAAAUUUGGGUUUAAUGUCAUUGAACUUUUUCCCCAAUAUACUUGUAAUUACGAAAUUAUCCACCUACCAAAUUGAAUAUCUACGAGUCUAGUUUCUAACACAUUGAACCGUUCAUCGAUACGACAUCAGAGUAGAGAGACAUGCGCGUUUUUACAAGACUGCACAAGUAGCUCCCAAUGGAACCCACUUAGGCGGUGGUCAACAUACUUCACUUUAAAAACGAUUUGGACAACCUUUAUUUCUCAUUUUUAGUCCCAACUUUGUCUCUAAGCUCUUUCUCACCCUCCUAAACAGAUUCCAAAGGUUCAAGGGUGAUUCCAAAGUGAUAACACCAUAUUUCAACAUUAAAAGUUAGUUUUAGUGAAGAAUGAUACCUCUUUGAGGUUGAGUUGUCAUUGAGGAUAGUUGUGGGCUGUGUUUGGCUGAAAUUUCAAGUUGUUUCUACUGGUUAAGGUGAGUAACUUCCUAUUAAUUAUUCUUAAGCUUUCUUGUAUGUUGGUUAAGUUGUUAGGAUGAUAAACUACAAGAUAAUACUUGGAUUAGCUUGAGAUGUUGUUGUUCUUGAUGGAUUAUUUUGAAAGUUGCUCUUAUGAACUUUAAGUGGAUUGAAAUUACAGGAAAUAAAUUAUCUAUGAUAUUGUUAGUAUGGUUAUAUUGGUUUACACGCCAAGCUUGUUGAGGAUAUUGGAAAGGAAAUGACUAUAAAGUACUUGGAAGUUAUCCAUAGUGAUAUUAUCUUGUGUUGGGCUAUUUCAGGUAACUUUAAAAUUGAAUAGUAGGUUGAAAAUCCUUUAAUCAUUAUUGGUUAUUAUAAUGAAUUUAUUACUAAGUUCAAGAAUGAAUGAUAAUGGGGUUGAAAGGUGCUAAAGGGAUACAAUCCGAGCUUGCCGCUCGUCUUGAUAUUUUGAUUACUUGUUAAUGAAAUAUUUUAUACCCUAUUAUUUAUGUUGUUCUUAUUGUAUUGCUUUGGUUGUUAUUGUUAGUAUAUGGUAUUGGAGGUGACCCUUGUUAAAGGGAAUUUACUGCCCGAAUUUACGCAAGCGAUCUACUACCUUAAGUUACAGACUUAGCCUUUACUCAUCACGUAUUUUGAAUCUCUUUAUGCUAUGGUAGAUUGAGUUGAGUUGUUUGAAGAGUUACUUGGAAGGUAUUAAGGACUCAACGGGGUUAAGGUAUGUUAAGACUAAACCUUUUAUUCAUUUUGGCAUGAUCCCGUAAUUACAUUCGUUUGAUAACAAGACAUAAAGAGAAGUUCGUACUCCUGAAUUCAUGUACAUUACCUAGUCUCAUAAGUUACAGUAUUCUCCCUUAUUGGGACUUUAUAUUUAGUUAAGUAUAGCCUUCUUUCAGACAAGAGAGCACACACACACACACACACACACAGAGAGAGAGAGAGAGAGAGAGAGAGAGAGAGAGAGAGAGAGAGAGAGAGAGUAUACACACACAGAGAGAGUAUUACAGUAUUUUCUCACCACCGAGCUAUAAUCAGCGGGCAGACCCCUAUUGGGCAACCUCAGAUCAGAUGGUAAGUUAUAUACCGAGCCUACUGUGACCGAGUACUUAUGAAUGAGCCCAGAAUGGACGAGAUACUGAGCCUAGUAUGGCCGAGUACCUAUGAACGUGACUUACUUAUUGAGAGAAUUGAGUUAGUAUCAACAUGUAACCAUAUCUUCAGAUUAUUUUUGACUCCCAGUUACAUUCAGUUAAUAUAUUAUCAGUUUAGUUUCAGCUUUCAGUUAUUCUACUGUCUUACAUACUCGGUACAUUAUUUCAUACUGACAUUCCUUUUGUCGGGGACGCUGCAUUUCAUGCUUGCAGGUCCUGAUAGAUAGCUGGAUAGACCUUCCUAGUAGACAGAACCAAAUAUCAGCUUGAUUGAUAAGCUCUACUUUUCCCGAGUUACCAGGUCUAGACCUUGGAGUCCAUUUUAUAUGUACAUAUUUGAUGGGUAGGUCGAGGCACUGUCUCCACUAUGAUACCAUUCAGUUAUCUCUAGAGGCUUGUAGAUGAGUCCUGUAUAUUUUGUAUAUCAUUAUUGUGUCCUUGCCAGCCCUGUGCACAUGUUCAAUUUGGUAUUGCUGGUUGUAGACGUUCAUGGCGGCUUCGUCGGCCUACACAGUUAUUUAUAUGAGCUUUUGGGUAUGUUUACCCCUCAAAUGAGAGAGACGUUACUUUCAGAUGGCUCAGAGUAUGUCCCCGUCGGCCUUGAUUGGUUUUGUCAGCUGUAAGUAGGCCUCGUCGGCCUAAAUUGAGGACUACCCCUCCAGAGUUUAUAUUUACAGAGUGGUACGCUUGGGCCGAGUAUGACAUCAGGUGCUGGCCACUAUAGGUUUGGGGCGUGACACGAAAAAUAAGUAUCAUAUAAAUUUUAUAAAAUUAACCGGGCGAACCGAACCAUUGACACUCCUACUUUUUAGUACUACUUGUCAACAACUAUGUUAAGCCAGGAUAUUUAAAGGAGAAAAUGCAGCAGAGAAAACAAAAAGGAGCCAGAUAAUAUCGACUUUAGAGAGCACUACAUUGAAAGGGUCAAAAGUGGUGUUGAACAAUGAACAUUCAACAAAAAUAAAAACAAAGGUAGUGAUUCUCCUUG